rnacentral:rRNA from 1 species
GAUGAACGCUGGCGGCGUGCCUAAUACAUGCCAGUCGAGCGAACAGACGAGGAGCUUGCUCCUCUGACGUUAGCGGCGGACGGGUGAGUAACACGUGGAUAACCUACCUAUAAGACUGGGAUAACUUCGGGAAACCGGAGCUAAUACCGGAUAAUAUAUUGAACCGCAUGGUUCAAUAGUGAAAGACGGUUUUGCUGUCACUUAUAGAUGGAUCCGCGCCGCAUUAGCUAGUUGGUAAGGUAACGGCUUACCAAGGCAACGAUGCGUAGCCGACCUGAGAGGGUGAUCGGCCACACUGGAACUGAGACACGGUCCAGACUCCUACGGGAGGCAGCAGUAGGGAAUCUUCCGCAAUGGGCGAAAGCUUGACGGAGCAACGCCGCGUGAGUGAUGAAGGUCUUCGGAUCGUAAAACUCUGUUAUUAGGGAAGAACAAAUGUGUAAGUAACUAUGCACGUCUUGACGGUACCUAAUCAGAAAGCCACGGCUAACUACGCG